UACGAACGCUGGCGGCGUGCCUAACACAUGCAAGUCGAACGGGACCAGGGGGCAACUCUGGUUCAGUGGCGGACGGGUGCGUAACACGUGAGGAACAUGACUUUUGGUGGGGGAGUAGCCGGCCCAACGGCCGGGUAAUACCGCGUACGACCUUUUGGGGACAUCCCCGAUUGGUGAAAGCAGCAAUGCGCCGAAAGAGUGCCUCGCGGCCUAUCAGCUAGUUGGUGGGGUAAUGGCUCACCAAGGCGACGACGGGUAGCUGGUCUGAGAGGAUGGCCAGCCACAUUGGGACUGAGACACGGCCCAGACUCCUACGGGAGGCAGCAGUGGGGAAUAUUGCGCAAUGGGCGAAAGCCUGACGCAGCGACGCC
rnacentral:rRNA from 1 species